rnacentral:rRNA from 1 species
AACGAACGCUGGCGGCAUGCCUAACACAUGCAAGUCGAACGAGACCUUCGGGUCUAGUGGCGCACGGGUGCGUAACGCGUGGGAACCUGCCCUUAGGUUCGGAAUAACUCCCCGAAAGGGGUGCUAAUACCGGAUAAUGUCUUCGGACCAAAGAUUUAUCGCCUUUGGAUGGGCCCGCGUUGGAUUAGCUAGUUGGUAGGGUAAAAGCCUACCAAGGCGACGAUCCAUAGCUGGUCUGAGAGGAUGAUCAGCCACACUGGGACUGAGACACGGCCCAGACUCCUACGGAAGGCAGCAGUGGGGAAUAUUGGACAAUGGGCGAAAGCCUGAUCCAGCAAUGCCGCGUGAGUGAUGAAGGCCUUAGGGUUGUAAAGCUCUUUUACCCGGGAUGAUAAUGACAGUACCGGGAGAAUAAGCUCCGGCUAACUCCG